rnacentral:rRNA from 1 species
UAGGGAAUCUUCCGCAAUGGACGAAAGUCUGACGGAGCAACGCCGCGUGAGUGAUGAAGGUUUUCGGAUCGUAAAACUCUGUUGUUAGGGAAGAACAAGUACCGGAGUAACUGCCGGCACCUUGACGGUACCUAACCAGAAAGCCACGGCUAACUACGUGCCAGCAGCCGCGGUAAUACGUAGGUGGCAAGCGUUGUCCGGAAUUAUUGGGCGUAAAGCGCGCGCAGGUGGUUCCUUAAGUCUGAUGUGAAAGCCCACGGCUCAACCGUGGAGGGUCAUUGGAAUCUGGGGAACUUGAGUGCAGAAGAGGAAAGUGGAAUUCCAAGUGUAGCGGUGAAAUGCGUAGAGAUUUGGAGGAACACCAGUGGCGAAGGCGACUUUCUGGUCUGUAACUGACACUGAGGCGCGAAAGCGUGGGGAGCGAACAGG